rnacentral:rRNA from 1 species
GAUGAACGCUGGCGGCGUGCCUAAUACAUGCAAGUUGAGCGAACGGACGAGAAGCUUGCUUCUCUGAUGUUAGCGGCGGACGGGUGAGUAACACGUGGAUAACCUACCUAUAAGACUGGGAUAACUUCGGGAAACCGGAGCUAAUACCGGAUAAUAUUUUGAACCGCAUGGUUCAAAAGUGAAAGACGGUCUUGCUGUCACUUAUAGAUGGAUCCGCGCUGCAUUAGCUAGUUGGUAAGGUAACGGCUUACCAAGGCAACGAUGCAUAGCCGACCUGAGAGGGUGAUCGGCCACACUGGAACUGAGACACGGUCCAGACUCCUACGGGAGGCAGCAGUAGGGAAUCUUCCGCAAAGGGCGAAAGCCUGACGGAGCAACGCCGCGUGAGUGAUGAAGGUCUUCGGAUCGUAAAACUCUGUUAUUAGGGAAGAACAUAUGUGUAAGUAACUGUGCACAUCUUGACGGUACCUAAUCAGAAAGCCACGGCUAACUACGUG